rnacentral:lncRNA from 1 species
AAGAGAAUAAGUUCCGUCGAUUACGGGUACACUCGAGAGUAUUUAUUCUUUAAGUUAUUUUAGUUUCUUAACUGUAAUUAAAGUUCUAUUUUAUAAUUUAUUAAUGUAUCUUUACUUACAGACUAUUUUACACUUGCAAUGUGACUUUAUUGCACGUGAAAAUAAUCAUCUUCCCUGUUUACAUAGAGGGUAUAGCCCACCCACCUUGUCCUCCGAGCUUUUAUGUGACAAUAAAAAGAAGGAAAAAAACAUGUUGAAUUUAUUUUUUACAGACAAUACUAUGAUAAUUAAAAUAAAAACAUUUCAGAC